UGGAGCAUAAUCUCGGGAAACUGAGGAUAAUUCUCCAUAGACCAUGAGAUCUGGAAUGACUUAUGGUUCAAAGUUCCGGCGCUUUAGGAUCGGUCUGCGGCCUAUCAGGUAGUAGUGGGUGUAACGUACCCCCUAGCCAAUUACGGGUAUGGGCCUUGAGAGAGGGAGCCCAGAGUUGGAUUCUGAGACACGAAUCCAGGCCCUACGGGGCGCAGCAGUCGCGAAAACUUCACAAUGGGCGAAAGCCCGAUGAGGGAAUUCCUAGUGCUAGCACAUUUGUGUUAGCUUUUCCUUAGCGUAGAUUACUAGGGGAAUAAGGGCUGGGUAAGACGGGUGCCAGCCGCCGCGGUAAUACCCGCAGCCCGAGUGGUGGUCGAUUUUAUUGAGUCUAAAACGUUCGUAGCCGGUCUGAUAAAUCCCUGGGUAAAUCGGGUGGCUUAACCAUCCGAAUUCCGGGGAGACUGUCAGGCUUGGGAUCGGGAGAGGUAUGAGGUACUUCACGGGUAUGGGUAAAAUCCUGUA
rnacentral:rRNA from 1 species